UACAGGGGGAGCAAGCGUUGUUCGGAAUCACUGGGCGUAAAGGGCGUGUAGGCGGUCAAGUAAGUGGGAUGUGAAAUCCCUCGGCUCACCCGAGGACCUGCAUCCCAAACUGCUUGGCUUGAGUAUGGGAGAGGAUGAGGGAAUUCCUGGUGUAGCGGUGAAAUGCGUAGAUAUCAGGAAGAACACCAACGGCGAAGGCAGCUCGCUGGGACGGUACUGACGCUGAGACGCGAAAGCGUGGGGAGCGAACAGG
rnacentral:rRNA from 1 species